rnacentral:rRNA from 1 species
AGAGUUUGAUCAUGGCUCAGGAUGAACGCUGGCGGCGUGCCUAAUACAUGCAAGUCGAACGCGGGCACUUGUGCCCGAGUGGCGAACGGGUGAGUAAUACAUAAGUAACCUGGCCUUUACAGGGGGAUAACUGCUGGAAACGGCAGCUAAGACCGCAUAGGUAGGGACACUGCAUGGUGACCGUAUUAAAAGUGCUGCAAGGCACUGGUAGAGGAUGGACUUAUGGCGCAUUAGCUGGUUGGUGAGGUAACGGCUCACCAAGGCGACGAUGCGUAGCCGACCUGAGAGGGUGACCGGCCACACUGGGACUGAGACACGGCCCAGACUCCUACGGGAGGCAGCAGUAGGGAAUUUUCGGCAAUGGGGGGAACCCUGACCGAGCAACGCCGCGUGAAGGAAGAAGGAAUUCGUUCUGUAAACUUCUGUUAUAAAGGAAGAAAGACGGAUGGAGGAAAUGACAUCCGAGUGACGGUACUUUAUGAGAAAGCCACGGCUAACUACGUGCCAGCAGCCGCGGUAAUACGUAGGUGGCAAGCGUUAUCCGGAAUUAUUGGGCGUAAAGAGGGAGCAGGCGGCAGCAAAGGUCUGUGGUGAAAGACUGAAGCUUAACUUCAGUAAGCCAUAGAAACCGGGCAGCUAGAGUGCAGGAGAGGAUCGUGGAAUUCCAUGUGUAGCGGUGAAAUGCGUAGAUAUAUGGAGGAACACCAGUGGCGAAGGCGACGAUCUGGCCUGCAACUGACGCUCAGUCCCGAAAGCGUGGGGAGCAAAUAGGAUUAGAUACCUUAGUAGUCCACGCCGUAAACGAUGAGUACUAAGUGUUGGAAGUCAAAUUUCAGUGCUGCAGUUAACGCAGUAAGUACUCCGCCUGAGUAGUACGUUCGCAAGAAUGAAACUCAAAGGAAUUGACGGGGGCCCGCACAAGCGGUGGAGCAUGUGGUUUAAUUCGAAGCAACGCGAAGAACCUUACCAGGUCUUGACAUACUCAUAAAGGAUCCAGAGAUGGAUAGAUAGUUAUAUGAGAUACAGGUGGUGCAUGGUUGUCGUCAGCUCGUGUCGUGAGAUGUUGGGUUAAGUCCCGCAACGAGCGCAACCCUUGUCGUUAGUUACCAUCAUUAAGUUGGGGACUCUAGCGAGACUGCCAGUGACAAGCUGGAGGAAGGCGGGGAUGACGUCAAAUCAUCAUGCCCCUUAUGACCUGGGCUACACACGUGCUACAAUGGAUGGUGCAGAGGGAAGCGAAGCCGCGAGGCGAAGCAAAACCCAUAAAACCAUUCUCAGUUCGGAUUGUAGUCUGCAACUCGACUACAUGAAGUUGGAAUCGCUAGUAAUCGCGAAUCAGCAUGUCGCGGUGAAUACGUUCUCGGGCCUUGUACACACCGCCCGUCACACCAUGAGAGUUGAUAACACCCGAAGCCGGUGGCCUAACCGAAAGGAAGGAGCUGUCUAAGGUGGGAUUGAUGAUUGGGGUGAAGUCGUAACAAGGUAACCGUA